rnacentral:rRNA from 1 species
AGUACGGCGGAACACGUGAAAUUCCGUCGGAAUCCGGGAGGACCAUCUCCCAAGGCUAAAUACUCCCUAGUGACCGAUAGUGAACCAGUACCGUGAGGGAAAGGUGAAAAGCACCCCGGAAGGGGAGUGAAACAGUUCCUGAAACCGUGUGCCUACAAGUAGUUAGAGCCCGUUAAUGGGUGAUAGCGUGCCUUUUGUAGAAUGAACCGGCGAGUUACGAUUUGUUGCAAGGUUAAGCGGAAAAAGCGGAGCCGUAGCGAAAGCGAGUCUGAAUAGGGCGCAUAAGUAACAGGUCGUAGACCCGAAACCAGGUGAUCUACCCAUGUCCAGGAUGAAGGUAAGGUAAUACUUACUGGAGGUCCGAACCCACGCACGUUGAAAAGUGCGGGGAUGAGGUGUGGGUAGCGGAGAAAUUCCAAUCGAACUUGGAGAUAGCUGGUUCUCUCCGAAAUAGCUUUAGGGCUAGCCUCGAGGUAAAGAGUCAUGGAGGUAGAGCACUGUUUGGACUAGGGGCCCUUCUCGGGUUACCGAAUUCAGAUAAACUCCGAAUGCCAUGUACUUAUACUCGGGAGUCAGACUGCGAGUGAUAAGAUCCGUAGUCGAAAGGGAAACAGCCCAGACCACCAGUUAAGGUCCCCAAAUAUAUGUUAAGUGGAAAAGGAUGUGGGGUUGCUUAGACAACCAGGAUGUUGGCUUAGAAGCAGCCACCAUUGAAAGAGUGCGUAAUAGCUCACUGGUCGAGUGACCCCGCGCCGAAAAUGUACCGGGGCUAAACAUAUUACCGAAACUGUGGAUGAACCUCUUUAGAGGUUCGUGGUAGGAGAGCGUUCUAAGGGCGGUGAAGUCAGACCGGAAGGACUGGUGGAGCGCUUAGAAGUGAGAAUGCCGGUAUGAGUAGCGAAAGAAGGGUGAGAAUCCCUUCCACCGAAUAUCUAAGGUUUCCUGAGGAAGGCUCGUCCGCUC